rnacentral:lncRNA from 1 species
AUGGUGCAAGUGGCUAGUGGCUGCAUGGGGGACUCUGAGGAAAGACUGCUGAUCCUAUUUCCAGAAGAUCUGCUUUUCCUCUCUGUGGAUAAGGACAGAACUGCAAUCACAUACAAGGGAAAACUCCCCCUAAAUGGAAUCCAGGCAAAGGAGAAAUCCGCCAUGCUGGGGAGGUUACAGUUUGAAAUUACAGGAAGACUGACAGAACCAAUCCUUAUCACCUGUUCCACAGCAGAAGAUUAUGAAAAAUGCCUCUUCUACCUACAAAAGCCAGAGAAAAUCCUUGAUCGUCUGACUCUCCAGCCACCACCAAUCAUCCCUAAGAAAUCUCGGCAACAUCGGUAGGAAAUUAGCAUGCAGCGACAAGAAGAAGGUAUGUUGAAUACGAUCCCAAGAAAAAGCAAAGAAGCUGCAACAACGAGUAAGAAGAGACCAGAAAUUGGAAACCAACCUUCUUUCAGACCGAGAGGUGAAUAAGGGUCUGCACAAGAACUGUUCUCCACUGGCUGCUCUUUUGAAUGGGACAUUGCAAUCAAUGUAGGAUCUUGUGAUUCUGACCUCAGCUGUACAUAUGCCUUAAGGAAAAAUCUUUCUGAAUUUUUUUUUACUAUACUUAUUGCCUGACUCUUACCAGAAAAAGAAACACUAUAAAAUACUAUGUAAAUGCUACAAAUAAAACUUAGGUUUACCUGAACCUAAACCAUGCAUAGAAAGGAGCAUUCAGGUAACUGUUGGUUUGCAGAGCCAUUGACUUCCUUUGAAACAGCAGGCACAGUGCAAUUCUUGAUGGUGAACAGUCUUUUUUCUAUAGCUUUUCUUCUCUGCCAAAAUAAAGAAGAAAUGUUAAUCCUGGAAGUUUUUGCAAACCAAAAACUGUUUCCC